rnacentral:rRNA from 1 species
UACGGGGGGGGCAAGCGUUGUUCGGAAUUACUGGGCGUAAAGGGCUCGUAGGCGGCCAACUAAGUCGGACGUGAAAGUCCGGGGCUCAACUCCGGAUCUGCGGUGGGUACGGGCAGACUAGAGUGAUGUAGGGGAGACUGGAAUUCCUGGUGUAGCGGUGAAAUGCGCAGAUAUCAGGAGGAACACCGAUGGCGAAGGCAGGUCUCUGGGCAUUAACUGACGCUGAGGAGCGAAAGCAUGGGGAGCGAACAGG